rnacentral:lncRNA from 1 species
UAUACCCACGUCAUUAAAACAAUAGCAACUUCCUUUUUGUAGCAUGUCUGCUAAUGGGUCUUUAGUUUUCUUGAGGAAAGCCUCAGAGAAAACCCAAAUGGGAAAUGUAUGACCCUAUGAACAGAAAAUACAACUUUUCCUAUUUUGGUUUUUCUCUUUAUAGUACUUCAGUUCUAAGUUCUCAGGCAUAAGUAGGGGUAGAAACUGACCUAAAGUCCAAUGUACUUUUUACUCCCCCCCAAAACAAGUAUUCUACAGGAUGAGAAAUUCAAACGAGAUAAAUAAGAAACAAGAUUUUCAGGACAUCAGUUGUGAUCAGAAAGAGGGAGUACCCUCAGUGAAUAUAAAACCUUAAUGACAGGUGUGAUGAAUUUCUGUUAAUGUAAAACUACAGACUUUUAGGUCUAAAGAAUGACAAUAAAGAUCAUCUAUUCCAACCACUUUAUUUUACAGAUGAAUAAACUCAGUGACCAGGUGAUUAAAUAACUUGCAUGAAGACGCCAGCUAUGUUGGAUUUUCUGUGGCUAGCAAAACCAUGCUUAUCAGUCCCUUGGUGUCGACAGCAGAAUAUCGCACAGUAUCUGCCAGACCUUAAGCUCCUUUUCAGAAGUUACCUUCAGUGGCUUUGCAUUAUGUCUGGCCCAUGGUUGAUGUUGAUUGAGUGGAUGAGAGACUGCCAAGGACCCUUUCUGAAAUCUGCUAAGGGAGAACCACUGAACUGGAACUAA